GGUCAGGUUGCAUACCAGAUUGAUAGAACAUAGAAGCAGUAGAUUUCAAAAAUAAAAAUCAAUCCGACAUCUGAUGCAUAGAUCUAAAUCAAAAAAUCAGCACAAAAGUCAGCAUGCAAAAGGAAUUGCGAUAAUCUCAUUAUCCCCUUGUGUAGGUAGAUGAACACCACAAUCCGAUAAUCAUGAAUCUGAGGUUUACUUGUUGAGCCACACAUGUACCCGACCUCUACAAGUAUCUAUUGGGAUCACCCUU
rnacentral:lncRNA from 1 species